ACUGGCUUUAUUUGGUGCAUGGA
rnacentral:miRNA from 14 species